GGGAGGGGGUGACUAGUGACAGAGUUAGGGAGGGAAGGGGUUACUAGUUACAGAGUGAGGAAGGGGGUGACAAGUGACAGAGGGAGGGGUGACUAGGGACAGAGGGAGGGAUGGUGUGACUAGUGACAGUCACCACCUCCUUCACUCUGUCACUGUGUCACCCCCUUCCUCACUCUGUCACUGUGUCACCCCCUUCCUCACUCUCACUAGUCACCCACUCCCUUCCUCACUCUGUCACUAGUCACCCCCUCUCACUCUUUCACUAGUCACCCCCUCUCUCACUCUGUCACCAGUCAUUCCUUCACUCUGUCACCAGUCAUCCCUUCCUUCCC
rnacentral:sRNA from 1 species